rnacentral:lncRNA from 10 species
CGUGGCGGCGGUGGCGGCUGCGGCAACAGCGGGGCCGAUGUGUAGUUGGUGACUGCCUCUCCAGAUGCUGAGGUGCCUGUAUCAUUGGCACAGGCCAGUGCUGAACCGUAGGUGGAGUAGGCUGUGCCUUCCGAAGCAGUAUCUAUUCACAAUGAAGUUGCAGUCUCCCGAAUUCCAGUCACUUUUCACAGAAGGACUGAAGAGUCUGACAGGUGAGAGAUUAGGAUACCUUUUCUUGAUUGGAAACCUAUAUAAAUGGAGAAGUAGAGGGUUAACUUUUUAAGCCAGCAUUCGGAUAUUUUCAUUGUUGUUUUAAUUAUUUUUAUUAAAAAACGUAAGUAGAGGGUCUCUUUGUGUUGCCCAGGCUGGUCUCAAAACUCCUGGGCUCACUCCUUGGCCUCCCAAAAUGCUGGGAUUACAGGUGUGAGCCACGGUGCCCAAUGUGCACGUUUUCAUUGUUGGAAGAAAGGCUUGGCUGGGUGUACCCAGCCUGUAAUCUCUUGGGGAGGCCAAGGUAGGA